GCAGAGGUACCGAAGCCCGGUCAACCGAGAGGGACUCAAGAUCUUCUAUAAGAUAUCCCUUCCCUUAGGGGUUCGUGGGUUCAAAUCCCACCCUCUGCA
rfam:Candidatus Nitrosotalea devanaterra genome assembly, chromosome: 1